rnacentral:rRNA from 1 species
GGACCUGACUGCUAUCGGAUUGAUACUAAGCCAUGCGAGUCAUGNUAGCAAUACAAGGCAUACGGCUCAGUAACGCGUAGUCAACCUAACCUAUGGACGGGAAUAACCUCGGGAAACUGAGAAUAAUGCCCGAUAGAACAUUAUGCCUGGAAUGGUUUAUGUUCCAAAUGAUUUAUCGCCGUAGGAUGGGACUGCGGCCUAUCAGUUUGUUGGUGAGGUAAUGGCCCACCAAGACUAUUACAGGUACGGGCUCUGAGAGGAGUAGCCCGGAGAUGGGUACUGAGGCACGGACCCAGGCCCUAUGGGGCGCAGCAGGCGAGAAAACUUUGCAAUGUGCGAAAGCACGACAAGGUUAAUCCGAGUGGUUUCUGCUAAAGAAACCUUUUGUCGAGUCCUAGAAACGCUGAUGAAUAAGGGGUGGGCGAAGUUCUGGUUCGGCGG